rnacentral:lncRNA from 1 species
GCCAGUGGGACCUUCCAGUCCCUCUCAAAACCAUCUGCAGCAGUAGUCACCUCGGUGAUCCCCAUAAAGAGCUGGGUCUUACUGUGGACAAAGCCCCAUCAUUAACCUGUGCAUAUUUUUCUUGUGCAGCAACAGAAACAUGAGGUCGGUCCAGCCUGGGGCAGUUUCUCUCCAAGAGAAGAUGGAGGAAGCACAGCUAAGUGACUGGAAAUUUGACAUGCCUUCAUGUCAAGAGAUACCUGUACCUCUUGGAAACAACAAGCCCUUUGUGGUACCUCAGUGGGAUCAUCAGUGGGGCAUGGCCCUCUCUUGGACAACGUUCUCAUGCUGCUUUGCAAAGAGAAUAUAUAACAGGAUUUGUACAGAUAUUCAUAGAUGUGGUUAGAGCCUCUUGGAUUGCUGUAGCUGCUGGAACACCAAAACUAUAGGAGAAUUUUUAUCCAAAUAAAUAUAUAAAGACUGACUGUGGUUGCA